rnacentral:rRNA from 1 species
AUUGAACGCUGGCGGCAGGCUUAACACAUGCAAGUCGAGCAGGGGAAGUUGCUUCGGUAAUUGACCUAGCGGCGGACGGGUGAGUAAUACUUAGGGAUCUGCCUAUUAAUGGGGGACAACAUCUCGAAAGGGAUGCUAAUACCGCAUACGCCCUACGGGGGAAAGCAGGGGAUCACUUGUGACCUUGCGUUAAUAGAUGAGCCUAAGUCGGAUUAGCUAGUUGGUGGGGUAAAGGCCUACCAAGGCGACGAUCUGUAGCGGGUCUGAGAGGAUGAUCCGCCACACUGGGACUGAGACACGGCCCAGACUCCUACGGGAGGCAGCAGUGGGGAAUAUUGGACAAUGGGGGGAACCCUGAUCCAGCCAUGCCGCGUGUGUGAAGAAGGCCUUAUGGUUGUAAAGCACUAUAAGCGAGGAGGAGGCUCUUUUGGUUAAUACCCAAGAUGAGUGGACGUUACUCGCAGAAUAAGCACCGGCUAACUCUGUGCCAGCCGCCGCCGUAACAC